rnacentral:lncRNA from 1 species
CCUUGACUGAAGCAUCCAGGGACCAAGCUGUGAGUUGCUUGAAAGGGAUUAGCACUGCUGUCCCUGGACACAGCUUAAGCUCAUGGAAUGAUGGAGUCAUGAGGAAAAGGUGGUCAACGUGAGAAGUGACUCAGGUUGGUGAAGGAUGCGGAAAGUUUAGCAGUCUUCCAGUGGAUACUUUCUGACCCAUGGAUGUUUCCUGGGAGGAGCAAGAGAACCAUAGGAAAUCUCGUAGGGACACAGGUAAGAUUGGGAUGCUCCUGGAUU